UGCCAUAAAUAUAAAGUUUAUCUGGAGUAGGAACUGACACCUUUAGUGGACAGACCUGAUACAGGAGAAUGAACUAGCAAAAGAAACAAUGACCAUUGUACACCUCGGCAAACUUCUGCUUUAGAUGAUUUAUCCUCAUGACCUAUCCUGCUGCCAUUGGACACUGCGUAUGCACAACACUUCAAGGGUUUGUGUGGAAUCUGACUGCAAAGUUCAGAAAGGCUUCUCAGGUUUCACUGAAAUGCCAAAUCAGAGUGAACAAAAAGAACCAUCCUGUUCUGAGAAGCUGAGACAGUAUGUGCAGCUGGCAUUACAAAUGCGGGAUCGAAGCUUGUUGCAGAAGGGAAGUUGUUUCUCUGUUUCCUUUAGAAAUAGUCAGCAAGCUCACCAGUGGAAAUAAAAUAUCUAAGAGGAAAAUGCAA